GGCGCCGUGCCUAAUACAUGCCCCUCGAGCGGACAGAAGGGAGCUUGCUCCCGGAUGUUAGCGGCGGAGGGAGAGUAACACGUGGGUAACCUGCCUGUAAGACUGGGAUAACUCCGGGAAACCGGAGCUAAUACCGGAUAGUUCCUUGAACCGCAUGGUUCAAGGAUGAAAGACGGUUUCGGCUGUCACUUACAGAUGGACCCGCGGCGCAUUAGCUAGUUGGUGGGGUAAUGGCUCACCAAGGCGACGAUGCGUAGCCGACCUGAGAGGGUGAUCGGCCACACUGGGACUGAGACACGGCCCAGACUCCUACGGGAGGCAGCAGUAGGGAAUCUUCCGCAAUGGACGAAAGUCUGACGGAGCAACGCCGCGUGAGUGAUGAAGGUUUUCGGAUCGUAAAGCUCUGUUGUUAGGGAAGAACAAGUGCGAGAGUAACUGCUCGCACCUUGACUGUACCUAACCAGAAAGCCACGGCUAACUACGUGCCAGCAGCCGCGGUAAUACGUAGGUGGCAAGCGUUGUCCGGAAUUAUUGGGGCGUAAAGGGCUCGCAGGCGGUUUCUUAAGUCUGAUGUGAAAGCCCCCGGCUCAACCGGGGAGGGUCAUUGGAAACUGGSAAACUUGASKSMMRARRRSGAGAGUGGAAUUCCACGUGUAGCGGUGAAAUGCGUAGAGAUGUGGAGGAACACCAGUGGCGAAGGCGACUCUCUGGUCUGUAACUGACGCUGAGGAGCGAAAGCGUGGGGAGCGAACAGGAUUAGAUACCCUGGUAGUCCACGCCGUAAACGAUGAGUGCUAAGUGUUAGGGGGUUUCCGCCCCUUAGUGCUGCAGCUAACGCAUUAAGCACUCCGCCUGGGGAGUACGGUCGCAAGACUGAAACUCAAAGGAAUUGACGGGGGCCCGCACAAGCGGUGGAGCAUGUGGUUUAAUUCGAAGCAACGCGAAGAACCUUACCAGGUCUUGACAUCCUCUGACAACCCUAGAGAUAGGGCUUUCCCUUCGGGGACAGAGUGACAGGUGGUGCAUGGUUGUCGUCAGCUCGUGUCGUGAGAUGUUGGGUUAAGUCCCGCAACGAGCGCAACCCUUGAUCUUAGUUGCCAGCAUUCAGUUGGGCACUCUAAGGUGACUGCCGGUGACAAACCGGAGGAAGGUGGGGAUGACGUCAAAUCAUCAUGCCCCUUAUGACCUGGGCUACACACGUGCUACAAUGGACAGAACAAAGGGCUGCAAGACCGCAAGGUUUAGCCAAUCCCAUAAAUCUGUUCUCAGUUCGGAUCGCAGUCUGCAACUCGACUGCGUGAAGCUGGAAUCGCUAGUAAUCGCGGAUCAGCAUGCCGCGGUGAAUACGUUCCCGGGCCUUGUACACACCGCCCGUCACACCACGAGAGUUUGCAACACCCGAAGUCGGUGAGGUAACCUUUAUGGAGCCAGCC
rnacentral:rRNA from 1 species